rnacentral:rRNA from 1 species
AGUACCGUGAGGGAAAGGCGAAAAGAACCCCGGGAGGGGAGUGAAAUAGAUCCUGAAACCGCAUGCUUACAAAAAGUAGGAGCCUGGAAACGGGUGACUGCGUACCUUUUGUAUAAUGGGUCAGCGACUUACAUUCAGUGGCAAGGUUAACCGAAUAGGGAAGCCGUAGAGAAAUCGAGUCCGAAUAGGGCGCUAGUUGCUGGGUGUAGACCCGAAACCAGUUGAUCUAUCCAUGGCCAGGUUGAAGGUGCGGUAACACGUACUGGAGGACCGAACCCCACUAACGUUGAAAAGUUAGGGGAUGAGCUGUGGNAUAGGGGUGAAAGGCUAAACAAAACUGGAAAUAGCUGGUUCUCUCCGAAAACUAUUUAGGUAGUGCCUCAAGUAUUACCGUCGGGGGUAGAGCACUGUUUUGGCUAGGGGGUCAUGGCGACUUACCAAACCAAGGCAAACUCCGAAAUACCGACGAGUACAGCUUGGGAGACAGAGCACCGGGUGCNUAACGUCCGGACUCAAGNAGGGAAACAACCCAGACCGCCAGCUAAGGUCCCUAAAAUUGGCUAAGUGGGAAACGAAGUGGGNAAGGCUAUAACAGUCAGGAUGUUGGCUUAGAAGCAGCCAU